AUUGAACGCUGGCGGCAGGCCUAACACAUGCAAGUCGAGCGCGCGGCGGACGGGUGAGUAAUGUCUGGGAAACUGCCUGAUGGAGGGGGAUAACUACUGGAAACGGUAGCUAAUACCGCAUACCAUCAGAUGUGCCCCGAUGGGAUUAGCUGGUAGGUGGGGGAACGGCUCACCUCGGCGACGAUCCCUAGCUGGUCUGAGAGGAUGACCAGCCACACUGGAACUGAGACACGGUCCAGACUCCUACGGGAGGCAGCAGUGGGGAAUAUUGCACAAUGGGCGCAAGCCUGAUGUAGCCAUGCCGCGUGUGUGAAGAAGGCCUUCGGGUUGUAAAGCACUUUCAGCGGGGAGGCGUUACCCGCAGAAGAAGCACCGGCUAACUCCGUGCCAGCAGCCGCGGUAAUUC
rnacentral:rRNA from 1 species